UGCCCAGAGUGACAGUCAUGUCUUUCCAGGG
rnacentral:piRNA from 1 species